AUGGCCACAUUAUGUUGAAAUACAGGUCCCCGUACGAUCACCGAAGUUAAGCAAAGUCGAACCUGCUCAGUACCUAGUUGGGUAACUGCUUGAGAAUAACAGGUGCUGUAAG